rnacentral:rRNA from 1 species
UCUGAUCCAGCCAUGCCGCGUGCAGGAAGACUGCCCUAUGGGUUGUAAACUGCUUUUAUAGAGGAAGAAACCUCCCUUCGUGAAGGGAAUUGACGGUACUCUACGAAUAAGGAUCGGCUAACUCCGUGCCAGCAGCCGCGGUAAUACGGAGGAUCCAAGCGUUAUCCGGAAUCAUUGGGUUUAAAGGGUCCGUAGGCGGACUAAUAAGUCAGUGGUGAAAGUCUGCAGCUCAACUGUAGAAUUGCCAUUGAUACUGUUAGUCUUGAGUCAUUAUGAAGUGGUUAGAAUGAGUGGUGUAGCGGUGAAAUGCAUAGAUAUCACUCAGAAUACCGAUUGCGAAGGCAGAUCACUAAUAAUGUACUGACGCUGAUGGACGAAAGCGUAGGUAGCGAACAGGAUUAGAUACCCUGGUAGUCUACGCCGUAAACGAUGGUUACUAGCUGUUUGGUCGAUUGAGACUGAGUGGCUAAGCGAAAGUGAUAAGUAACCCACCUGGGGAGUACGUUCGCAAGAAUGAAACUCAAAGGAAUUGACGGGGGCCCGCACAAGCGGUGGAGCAUGUGGUUUAAUUCGAUGAUACGCGAGGAACCUUACCAGGGCUUAAAUGUAGUCUGACAGAUUUGGAAACAGAUUUUUCUUCGGACAGAUUACAAGGUGCUGCAUGGUUGUCGUCAGCUCGUGCCGUGAGGUGUCAGGUUAAGUCCUAUAACGAGCGCAACCCCUGUGGUUAGUUGCCAGCGAGUCAAGUCGGGAACUCUAGCCAGACUGCCGGUGCAAACCGUGAGGAAGGUGGGGAUGACGUCAAAUCAUCACGGCCCUUACGUCCUGGGCCACACACGUGCUACAAUGGUAGGGACAGAGAGCAGCCACUUCGCGAGAAGGAGCGAAUCUUCAAACCCUAUCACAGUUCGGAUCGCAGUCUGCAACUCGACUGCGUGAAGCUGGAAUCGCUAGUAAUCGGAUAUCAGCCAUGAUCCGGUGAAUACGUUCCCGGGCCUUGUACACACCGCCCGUCAAGCCAUGGAAGCUGGGGGUACCU